CCGGCAGUGAGAAAUGAGACUGGAGCAGGAGAAGUUUGUGAGGGCCUGCUUCCCAAAUUCCGGCAGUCACAGGCAUUUUUCUCCUCCACACUGCCUGAGUGUUCUCCAGGAAUGAUUCACUGAACACAGGACAGAUAUUCUAGGAACUGGAAACAAGGAGCCUCUCUUGUAGGGAAAAGUUCUUUUGAUUUCCCAUAGUCCAGGGCUGGAGCAUCUUCUGCUGCUCUCCAAGGAUUCUGCACACACAGAAGCAGUCAUGCUGGCAGGGACUGAGCUCGAAGGCCUGUGUCUUGGCCUGCACCAUGCUGGAUGGCAGCGAGUCGCUGAUCUGAAGGCAAUCACUGAUUUGGUCAAAGCAAAACUAAAAGCGCUCAGUCACGCCAUCUAAUGAAGGAUGGGAAUGGGAGGUGAUUAAAGCUACUACUCAGAGCUAUAACCACAUGGCACAGCUGGAGCAGGACUGAGCUCUAUGGUCUGAAAGGCUUCCUUAAGGUGGUCUGGAAGUAUGUGACACAGGGGCCUGGCUCCAUCAGGACAUGAAGUAAAGCACAGCACCAGAGAAUGAGGACAGGCACAAGAACAGUCCAAAAGAGCAGUGGCAGAAGGGAGUUGGCACGGGGACAUCAGAAAUUUUCAAAAAUCAAUCA